UGAUUAACAGAAUUUCUGACAUAGAGAAUCAAAAUAUUGCUAAUCUGAAAUAAUCUGAAAACUGAUAUCUAAUCUUGGAUUGUGAGUAAAGUUGAAGACUGAGGCAUCAUGUCUGCCAGCUCCUGCCUCUGUGUGAUCACAAAAGUUUGAUUCAGUGCUGCUUUUCAAAUAGGACAAAGUGGCACAAAAAGAAAUGUGUACCAUCAACUGCUUGUCCUUUAAUGAAAUUCUCUGGUGUACAAAUCACUGCAGUGGAAUGAUGCAAUGGGGCAUAAAGACCAUAAAUCAGGCAAUAUAUCGAGUGUAACACUAAUUAUAUUCACUAUAAACUGAAAUAUAUAUAUAUCAGAUGGCCAGAAUGGUACACCGGUGUUCAAAGUCCAAGAUGAAAAAUGCAUUUCAACUUCUCUCCCUAUAAAAACUCAACAGUCUGCUUCUGUGUCUGGCAUCAAAUUCUAUAUCUCUACCUGUGUUUUCAGCAAGGAAACCCAAUUCCUAAAGGAAAGGUCAUUAUCAUUAUUAAGUUUUAUAAGAAAAUCAGUAUCUACUUAAUAAUGGAGACAUCACGAAUGUCAGACUUAACACACUUUGCAAAGUGCUAAUAACUCUUAAGGUGUACCUUGUCUGAAGCUGAAGUCAGUAUUGGAAAUUUUAUACUACUUUCUCUGCCUGAAAGCAUGACAAAGUAUUUCUGUAAAAAGUAUUUCUAUAAUAGCUAAGUUUAAAAAACUAGCGGUUAUUUUACAACUCUGCUUAAUUUGGGUUCAGUUUCAAAGUUGGUGAUAGUCAAAAUUCAUGUCAUCAUUAAUAAUUUGAACUGCAUUCUUUUUCAUUUUUAGGACAAACAAAGCAUUUAUACAUGCCUCUGUUUGCAAGUUUUUUAUGACCAAGGCAUAAAGAAAUUUGAUCACUCAGUAAAGCUGUUCUGACCCCAGUCAAAAUAAGAACUGACAUAUUUUAGAAAUUACACUCUGGUAUCCAGAAGCUGUCUUCUCUGAGAUGACCUGUCAGUGACCUCUCUGGUGACAUUGAAGGACUACCAUCUCCCAGGGUGAGAAGAAAUUCAACUUCAACCUCUCCUCUGCUCCAGACAUGUAUAAAACAGACAAUAUAAACAUGUACUGUAGGUUUAUUUUGGCUCCAGUUAAGGUGACACAGUCAAACUCAUUUAGUUUAGAACUUGCAGACAUGGUCUUAGUAGCAGCUCUCUGCUGCAAUCCAGAAAGUUGAAGAAAAGUUAGCAAAAACCAACAUGGGACUUUUGCUGAGGCAGUAGUCAAGUUUCUCAUACUUAACAACACUUUAAGUCCCCAACAACUCCC